AGAGGGAUAGCUGGGUCAAAUGGAUUUCCAGAUUUCCAAGGAGUCUCCAUACUGCUUUCCAUAUUGGCUACACCAAUUUGCAGUCCCACCAGCAAU
rnacentral:pre_miRNA from 1 species